UGGGGAAUAUUGGGCAAUGGGCGCAAGCCUGACCCAGCCAUGCCGCGUGAGUGAUGAAGGCCUUCGGGUCGUAAAGCUCUGUGGGGAGGGACGAAUGCCCUUUGGGUUAACACCCCAGAGGGGUGACGGUACCUCCUUAGCAAGCACCGGCUAACUCCGUGCCAGCAGCCGCGGUAAUACGGAGGGUGCAAACGUUGCUCGGAAUUAUUGGGCGUAAAGCGCACGCAGGCGGCUCGACAAGUCGGGUGUGAAAGCCCUCGGCUCAACCGAGGAAGUGCAUUCGAAACUAGCGAGCUUGAGUACGGAAGAGGGUCUCGGAAUUCCCGGUGUAGAGGUGAAAUUCGUAGAUAUCGGGAGGAACACCAGUGGCGAAGGCGGAGACCUGGGCCGAUACUGACGCUGAGGUGCGAAAGCGUGGGGAGCAAACAG
rnacentral:rRNA from 1 species